rnacentral:ncRNA from 1 species
ACGAUGGAGGUGCGUUUUUCAUCAGUAGCGGCAGUCGUCCGGCCCGACAGAAUGCGGACGCCGCGAAAGGGAAAAGCGCCGAAAACCCCGCGUCCGUUCGGGCGGGCGGCGGUGUUUGGGCCGUAUGCGGAAUACGCUGCGGACUGUCAUCAUGGAUUGUGAUGGAGUGCUGUCUGU